AUUGAACGCUGGCGGCAGGCCUAACACAUGCAAGUCGAACGAGUGGCGGACGGGUGAGUAAUGUCUGGGAAACUGCCUGAUGGAGGGGGAUAACUACUGGAAACGGUAGCUAAUACCGCAUACCAUCAGAUGUGCCCAGGUGGGAUUAGCUUGUUGGUGGGGUAAAGGCUCACCAAGGCGACGAUCCCUAGCUGGUCUGAGAGGAUGAUCAGCCACACUGGAACUUAGACACGGUCCAGACUCCUACGGGAGGCAGCAGUGGGGAAUAUUUCACAAUGGGCGCAAGCCGGAGGCCGCCAGGCCGCGUGUAUGAAGAAGGUCUUCGGGGUGUAAAGUACUUGCAGCGGGGAGGCGUUACCCGCAGAAGUAGCACCGGCUAACUCCGUGCCAGCAGCCGCGGUAAUAC
rnacentral:rRNA from 1 species